rnacentral:lncRNA from 1 species
AGAUUAUCUAACUAUAUGUUCCUAUUGUAAUUUUAAAGGCUCUUCAAAAUGUUCGUAAAAAUAAAAAUAAAUAAUUAUUAUUUCUUGAAGACGAUCAGAUGAUGAAUUUUCGGUUUUAAUAUAUAUUAAGUACGACAAUGUAAAAUAGUGCAAGGGGAUUUUGAGCCAUCUCACUGAUCAGUGUAGGCUACACAGUACCCCCAAAUGAACAGUAUAAAACUAUCCAGCAAGAG